rnacentral:rRNA from 1 species
GACGAACGCUGGCGGCGUGCUUAACACAUGCAAGUCGAACGGUGAAGCGAGUGCUUGCACUCGUUGAUCAGUGGCGAACGGGUGAGUAACACGUGAGUAACCUGCCCAUCACUCUGGGAUAAGCACUGGAAACGGUGUCUAAUACUGGAUACGACCAACCCUUGCAUGGGGUGUUGGUGGAAAGAUUUAUCGGUGAUGGAUGGACUCGCGGCCUAUCAGCUUGUUGGCGGGGUAAUGGCCCACCAAGGCGACGACGGGUAGCCGGCCUGAGAGGGUGACCGGCCACACUGGGACUGAGACACGGCCCAGACUCCUACGGGAGGCAGCAGUGGGGAAUAUUGCACAAUGGGCGAAAGCCUGAUGCAGCGACGCCGCGUGAGGGAUGACGGCCUUCGGGUUGUAAACCUCUUUCAGCAGGGAAGAAGCGAAAGUGACGGUACCUGAAGAAGAAGCACCGGCUAACUACGUG